rnacentral:rRNA from 1 species
UACGUAGGGGGCAAGCGUUGUCCGGAUUUAUUGGGCGUAAAGAGCGUGUAGGCGGCUUGGUAGGUCCGCUGUGAAAACUCGAGGCUCAACCUCGAGAUGUCGGCGGAAACCACUUGGCUAGAGUCCGGAAGAGGAGAGUGGAAUUCCCGGUGUAGCGGUGAAAUGCGCAGAUAUCUGGAGGAACACCGGUGGCGAAGGCGGCAUCCUGGACCAACACUGACACUGAGGAGCGAAAGCCAGGGGAGCAAACGGG